rnacentral:rRNA from 1 species
AGUCUGAAGAAAUUUUAUUUUAGAUAAAACCUGCCCAGUGCUAAUUUAUAGUAAAUGGCCGCAGUACCCUGACUGUGCUAAGGUAGCAUAAUCAGUUGGCUUUUAAUUGGAGUCGUGUAUGAAUGGAUUUUUGGAGUUAGACUGUCUCGUUUAAGUUUAAUUGAAUUUAAUUAAAGGGUGAAAAUACCCUUAAGUAGAUAAAGGACGAUAAGACCCUUGGAGUUUUUAUUAAAAGCUAUAAUUUUAGUUUAAUGUUUUUGCUGGGGCGGCACAGAGGAAUCUCAAACCCUCUGUUAUAAUUGGCCGAUAUUUAUAAGGUAAGUUAAACUACCCGAGGGAUAACAGCAUUAUUCUUAAAAGAGUUUGUGACCUCGAUGUUGGACUAGGAAUUCCCUAGAUUAGCCGUCUAGGCAUACUGUUCUGUUCGAACUAUUAUUCC